rnacentral:rRNA from 1 species
GUCGAGCGGGAUUCUAUUUUUUCAAUUCUUCGGAAGAGAAGGUUUAGAUGAGAGCGGCGAACGGGUGAGUAAUAUAUGGGUAAUUUGCCUCAGAGCUUGGGAUAGCCAUCCGAAAGGGUGGGUAAUACCGAAUGUGCUCGGGUCUCGCAUGAGACCUUAUGUAAAGGUGGGGAUUCUUCGGAACCUGCCACUCUGAGAUAAGCCCAUAUCCUAUCAGCUUGUUGGUAAGGUAAUGGCUUACCAAGGCUUACGGGUAGCCGACCUGAGAGGGUGACCGGCCACACUGGGACUGAGACACUGCCCAGACUCCUACGGGAGGCUGCAGUCGAGAAUCAUUGUCAAUGUACGAAAGUAUGAACAUGCGACGCCGCGUGGAGGACGAAGGCCUUCGGGUUGUAAACUCCUGUCCUGAGGGAGUAAGUGCAUGGUGAUUAAUACUCACUGUGUUUGAUAGUACCUCAGAAGAAAGUCACGGCUAACUCUGUG